rnacentral:ncRNA from 1 species
GGGUGUCAUGCCGGCCGGUUGCCGGAAGACAGGAUUCGUGUCGGUCGGGCCGCCGCA